AUCUUCUCUGAUGAGGAGUUUCAGAUCAGAGAAGUGGGCCAGUGACUGGCCCUGGACGUAGACAGCCUUUUAGUCCCUUGUCCUCUGUGUUUUUGUCUGAGAGUGGCCUUUAAUUAAUAUUGACUAAAUGUGAAUUAGGUCAUUAAAUCUUAAUAAAGAUGAGGAAUGGGUACAGCUUCUAAGAAUGAUGCUGGAAGAAAUGAUGUGAAGCUUCAGGUGAGAGUUCGGGCUAGACAUAAAGAAGAACUUUUUUCUUUUUUAGCAAAGGUCAAACUUGAUGACUGAAGAAACAAAGAACCUAUUUGUCUAGAAAUUAAAAAAAAUGAAAAUCCAUUUUCUCAAAUGAGUCAGGCUGGGUCUGGGGUGGUGGUAGGGACAAGACGGCAUUUCUGAAUUCCCCUUGUCUUGGGUUAUGCUAUGUCUUCUGUCAUUCUGGGGUAUGUGGUGGCACUUAGAUCAAGACCACAGACAAGGUCAUCAAAGAAACAGCUGUGAAAUGCUGCCUGUGAGUGGCAUUCUGUGGGCGGGAUGUGGGAAGUAAAGCCAUGUGGUCAUCAGUGCUGUGACAGCUGCAGUGAGAGGAGAGUUAGUAUGACGAGGCUGCAAUGAAAGAGCAAGCAGGGCAGGUCAGGACCCUGGGCGUUGCUCAUCAGUGGGGCUCUGACACAUGUGACCUAGGAGUGGUUGAUCUCCAAUACUGGGAAUCUGCAUGAGACCUGACAGUGGCAGCCAAGAGAAGCCAGAGGCUCCCCUAGACCCAGUCCACACAGCUGGUGCCACCGAAGACAUUUCUGAUCUCAGUGAAAACAUCAUGGAAGGAGGGCUGGCCACAAACCAACACUUGAGGAAAUAAAGGUGAUUAUGUAGACACUGUGAUAAAAACUGGGAAUACAAAAUGCUUGCCGUAUAUUUCUUUUCAAAAUCAGUGUUCUAGUGUCUUUUUAGAGUAGACAGUGUGGAAUAAGCUGCUGAAGUUUGGUCCUGGGUAAGGCUGUACUAAGGAUAGAC
rnacentral:lncRNA from 1 species